CCUACGGGUGGCAGCAGUAGGGAAUCUUGCGCAAUGGGCGAAAGCCUGACGCAGCAACGCCGCGUGGGGGAUGAAGGCCUUCGGGUUGUAAACUCCUUUCAGUGGGAACGCGGUACCCACAGAAGAAGCCCCGGCCAACUACGUGCCAGCAGCCGCGGUGAUACGUAGGGGGCGAGCGUUGUCCGGAUUUAUUGGGCGUAAAGAGCUCGUAGGCGGUUUGGCAAGUCGGGUGUGAAACCUCCAGGCUUAACCUGGAGACGCCACUUGAAACUGCCAGGCUAGAGUCCGGUAGGGGAUCACGGAAUUCCUGGUGUAGCGGUGAAAUGCGCAGAUAUCAGGAGGAACACCAGUGGCGAAGGCGGUGAUCUGGGCCGGACUGACGCUGAGGAGCGAAAGCGUGGGGAGCGAACAGGAUUAGAUACCCUUGUAGUC
rnacentral:rRNA from 1 species